rnacentral:rRNA from 1 species
UACGUAGGGUGCAAGCGUUGUCCGGAAUUAUUGGGCGUAAGGAGCUCGUAGGCGGUUUGUCGCGUCUGCUGUGAAAAUCCAGGGCUUAACCCUGGACCUGCAGUGGGUACGGGCAGACUAGAGUGCGGUAGGGGAGAUCGGAAUUCCUGGUGUAGCGGUGAAAUGCGCAGAUAUCAGGAGGAACACCGGUGGCGAAGGCGGAUCUCUGGGCCGUAACUGACGCUGAGGAGCGAAAGCAUGGGGAGCGAACAGG